rnacentral:rRNA from 1 species
UGCAUGGUCGUCGUCAGCUCGUGUCGUGAGAUGUUGGGUUAAGUCCCGCAACGAGCGCAACCCUCGCCCCGUGUUGCCAGCGGAUUGUGCCGGGAACUCACGGGGGACCGCCGGGGUUAACUCGGAGGAAGGUGGGGAUGACGUCAGAUCAUCAUGCCCCUUACGUCCAGGGCUUCACGCAUGCUACAAUGGCCGGUACAACGGGAUGCGACAGCGCGAGCUGGAGCGGAUCCCUGAAAACCGGUCUCAGUUCGG